UACAGAGGUCCCAAGCGUUGUUCGGAUUCACUGGGCGUAAAGGGUGCGAGUAGGCGGUCGGGUAAGUCUGAUGUGAAAUCUUCAAGCUCAACUUGGAAACUGCAUCGGAUACUAUUCGGCUAGAGGAAUAGAGGGGAGACUGGAAUACUUGGUGUAGCAGUGAAAUGCGCAGAUAUCAGGAGGAACACCGGUGGCGAAGGCGGGUCUCUGGGCAGUGAACUGACGCUGAGGAGCGAAAGCGUGGGGAGCGAACAGG
rnacentral:rRNA from 1 species